UACGUAGGCGGAAAAUUAAGUCAGUAGUGAAAUCCUGCAGCUUAACUGUAGAACUGUUAUUGAUACUGGUUUUCUUGAAUAUAGUUGAGGUAGGCGGAAUGUGUAAUGUAGCGGUGAAAUGCUUAGAUAUUACACAGAACACCGAUUGCGAAGGCAGCUUACUAAGCUAUGAUUGACGCUGAGGUACGAAAGCGUGGGGAGCGAACAGGAUUAGAUACCCGAGUAGUCC
rnacentral:rRNA from 1 species